GACAGAGGGUGCAAACGUUGUUCGGAAUUACUGGGCGUAAAGCGAGUGUAGGCGGUCUGCUAAGUCGGGCGUGAAAGCCCUGGGCUCAACCCAGGAAGUGCACUCGAAACUGGCAGGCUAGAGUACUGGAGAGGUUGGUGGAAUUCUCGGUGUAGAGGUGAAAUGCGCAGAUAUCAGGAGGAACACCAAUGGCGAAGGCAGCUCGCUGGGACGGUACUGACGCUGAGGCGCGAAAGCUAGGGGAGCGAACAGG
rnacentral:rRNA from 1 species